UCUUAAAUAAUUCACCUAGAUUUAUGGUUCAGUGGUUUACUUUAUUCAGAUACAUGUGAUUUUGUGAAUGUAAUAUAGUACUUACGAUUUUCUUAUGAGACGAAAACAGUUUUCUACCCCUCAUGGUAGCGUGUUUUAAAAAAAAGGUUUUCGUGUGGAAAACAGUUUUAAAAGAGUUUUCCUGAUUUUCAUGGUUCUUAGUGUAUCAAAAUAAGUUUCUGAGUAGAAAACGUUUUAAACUAAUAGAUGUGGAUUUAUGAAGAAAAAAUUGCAAUCUUGUGAUUGAAUGAAUGUGAAUUGAUUUUUGUGAUGUGGUGAAUGUAUAUGGUUGUUUAUAUACUGUUGUUGUAUCUUGUACUUGUGCAACUUCAUGCAAAUACAAGGAAGACUCUAUCCGUUUGAACAGUGGGCUUCCUGUGUUUGUGGCGGAUCGACAUCUCUUGGGGUCAAGGUUUUUUUUUUU
rnacentral:lncRNA from 1 species